rnacentral:rRNA from 1 species
AACGAACGCUGGCGGCAUGCCUAACACAUGCAAGUCGAACGAAGUCUUCGGACUUAGUGGCGGACGGGUGAGUAACACGUGGGAACGUACCUUUUGGUUCGGAACAACUCAGGGAAACUUGAGCUGAUACCGAAUGUGCCCUUCGGGGGAAAGAUUUAUCGCCAUUAGAGCGGCCCGCGUUAGAUUAGCUAGUUGGUGGG